rnacentral:rRNA from 1 species
CACACCGCCCGUCACACCGUGGAAGCUGUGAGCGCCCGAAGUCCGUGUCGGAACCCGCAAGGGGCCAAGCGGCCGAAGGCGAGCGCAGUGACUGGGGCG